rnacentral:rRNA from 1 species
CCUACGGGUGGCAGCAGUGAGGAAUAUUGGUCAAUGGGCGCUAGCCUGAACCAGCCAAGUAGCGUGAAGGAUGACGGCCCUACGGGUUGUAAACUGCUUUUAUACGGGGAUAAAGCGCAUUAUGUAUAGGGCUUUGCAUGUACCGUAUGAAUAAGGAUCGGCUAACUCCGUGCCAGCAGCCGCGGUAAUACGGAGGGUCCGAGCGUUAUCCGGAUUUAUUGGGUUUAAAGGGAGCGUAGGCCGCAUGUCAAGCGAGCUGUGAAAUUUUCGGGCUCAACCCUAGAAUUGCAGUGGGUACUGGCGUCCUUGAGUACGCGGAAGGCAGGCGGAAUUCGUCGUGUAGCGGUGAAAUGCUUAGAUAUGACGAAGAACCCCGAUUGCGAAGGCAGCUUGCUGCAGUGUAACUGACGCUGAUGCUCGAAAGCGCGGGUAUCGAACAGGAUUAGAUACCCGGGUAGUC